rnacentral:sRNA from 1 species
GGAUUGUAGUGGCAUCCUUUUUUGUCUUUUUUCAAAAAAGAUAUAACGGAAAGCCCGACC